rnacentral:rRNA from 1 species
CCUGGCUCAGAGCGAACGUUAGCGGCGCGCCUAACACAUGCAAGUCGCACGAGAAAAGGGCUUCGGCCCCGGUAAAGUGGCGCACGGGUGAGUAACACGUGGGCAACCUGCCCAACCCUGGGGAUAACCUGCCGAAAGGCGGGCUAAUACCGCGUACGAGGGCUCGACUUCGGUCGGGUUCUGAAAGCAGGCCUCUGAAUUCAAGCUUGUGGGGUUGGAUGGGCCCGCGGUCCAUCAGCUAGUUGGUGAGGUAAUGGCUCACCAAGGCAACGACGGAUAGCUGGUCUGAGAGGGAUGAUCAGCCACACUGGAACUGAGACACGGUCCAGACUCCUACGGGAGGCAGCAGUGGGGAAUCUUGCGCAAUGGACGAAAGUCUGACGCAGCGACGCCGCGUGGGUGACGAAGGCCU